rnacentral:lncRNA from 1 species
AGACCUCUCUCUGUACUCAUCCUUGGCAGACAGCAGGCCCAAGAGGAGGAGGAGGCAGGAGCAGAUUUGCUCUGCUAAGUCAAGAACCCUUCCCCGGGUGGCAUCAGAUUUCAUCUGGCCAAGCUGACAGAGAAGUGAUUAGCAGUCUAAAGGAUACCAACUCCACCUUGGAAAGAUGCCAUGACCCAGAGAAGCCAGUUCUCUUCCUGGCUCAGAAGUGGGAGGAGCUGCACUUGGGAUUCCUACUGUGGUAUUGAGAACCAGCUCCCAGGCUCUGCAAGAUGAAAACCAAUCCUAGAGUUAAACCAAGAUGUCAGGCCGGCUAGGGAGUGGGAAAGAGAAGGAAGCCCAAGUUUAAACAAAAAUGGCCUCGAGGCCGGCUUUCUUUCCUUACUCAAUCUUGCGACUUUCAGAAGAGCCAGCUAUGUGACCAGCGAGACUCCGAGCACAUGACGUUCACUUUAUGAAUCAAAUGUCCCGCCUGGUGGCUCCAACAGGACCAGGAUGAGGCACCACAGGGCAAGGCAUCAGAGGACUACACAAACCCAGGGGCCGCUGUGUGGCUGACUUCAGGAAUGUGAAUGGGGCUGCCAAGUGUGUGACUUGAAACCAUACUGGUGCACCAAGGAUCUUCAAGGUAUGCGACAGCGUUGAGGAUGAAAGAGAAGAUGGCCCAGGAGCUGGUGGUGCACACGUUUAUUCCCAGCACUCAGAAGGCAGAAAGUGCUCUCCAACAGUGAACUGAGGUUUCUGAAAGCAAACCUGCAGACUGAUGGACUCCUUAAAACUUCCUGAUUGUGGAAGGUGAGAAUGUUGCAGAGCCAAAGCCAACAUCAUCUUGUGACAUUGUUAGUUCUCUCAAUAGCCGUUACUCACCUUCCUCUGCAUCCGACUUAAGACCUAUGGGACGAUCAGGAAAGACUUUAGGAAUGUAUUAACUUGGCUGGCCAUCAUCACCCCCAAGGGCAAGAAUGUCAUCAGAGAACAUCCGAGGAUCUCAACAGGAUCUCCCACUUGGCUGCAACCUCAUGUCCCAGCAAUGUGUUUGACAAAUGCUUUGAUUUGUGACUGUCUUGUGUUUGGUAACUUUUUAGGUUCAGGUCACCACAUCCAUGGUGGAACAUGUCAUUCAAGGCAGUCUGAGUCUGUGUCACUCAUAUUUGGUUUGGAAUAAAAUCUCUCUUAUCCCCUUUGG